rnacentral:rRNA from 1 species
GACGAACGCUGGCGGCGUGCUUAACACAUGCAAGUCGAACGGAAAGGCCCUGCUUUUGUGGGGUGCUCGAGUGGCGAACGGGUGAGUAACACGUGAGUAACCUGCCCUUGACUUUGGGAUAACUUCAGGAAACUGGGGCUAAUACCGGAUAGGAGCUCCUGCUGCAUGGUGGGGGUUGGAAAGUUUAGGCGGGUGGGGAUGGACUCGCGGCUUAUCAGCUUGUUGGUGGGGGAGUGGCUUACCAAGGCUUUGACGGGUAGCCGGCCUGCGAGGGUGACCGGCCUCAUUGGGACUGCGAUACGGCCCAGACUCCAACGGGAGGCAGCGGUGGGGAACAUUGCCCAAUGGGCGGAAGCCUGAUGCAGCAACGCCGCGUGCGGGAUGACGGCCUUCGGGUUGUAAACCGCUUUCGCCUGUGACGAAGCGUGAGUGACGGUAAUGGGUAAAGAAGCACCGGCUAACUACGUG